rnacentral:tRNA from 1 species
CGCGGGAUGGAGCAGUUGGUAGCUCGUCGGGCUCAUAACCCGAAGGUCACAGGUUCGAGUCCUGUUCCCGCUACCAUUG